AGUGAACGCUGGCGGUAGGCCUAACACAUGCAAGUCGAACGGCAGCACAGUAAGAGCUUGCUCUUACGGGUGGCGAGUGGCGGACGGGUGAGGAAUACAUCGGAAUCUACUUUUUCGUGGGGGAUAACGUAGGGAAACUUACGCUAAUACCGCAUACGACCUACGGGUGAAAGCAGGGGAUCUUCGGACCUUGCGCGAUUGAAUGAGCCGAUGUCGGAUUAGCUAGUUGGCGGGGUAAAGGCCCACCAAGGCGACGAUCCGUAGCUGGUCUGAGAGGAUGAUCAGCCACACUGGAACUGAGGCACGGUCCAGACUCCUACGGGAGGCAGCAGUGGGGAAUAUUGGACAAGGGGCGCAAGCCUGAUCCAGCCAUACCGCGUGGGUGAAGAAGGCGUUCGGGUUGUAAAGCCCUUUUGUUGGGAAAGAAAAGCAGCAGGUUAAUACCCCGCUGUUCUGACGGUACCCAAAGAAUAAGCACCGGCUAACUUCGUG
rnacentral:rRNA from 1 species